ACUCCUACGGGAGGCAGCAGUGGGGAAUAUUGCACAAUGGGCGCAAGCCUGAUGCAGCCAUGCCGCGUGUGUGAAGAAGGCCUUCGGUUGUAAAGCACUUUCAGCAGUGAGGAAGGCGGAGUCGUUAAUAGCGGCCUCGUUUGACGUUAGCUGCAGAAGAAGCACCGGCUAACUCCGUGCCAGCAGCCGCGGUAAUACGGAGGGUGCGAGCGUUAAUCGGAAUUACUGGGCGUAAAGCGCAUGCAGGUGGUUUGUUAAGUCAGAUGUGAAAGCCCGGGGCUCAACCUCGGAAUAGCAUUUGAAACUGGCAGACUAGAGUACUGUAGAGGGGGUAGAAUUUCAGGUGUAGCGGUGAAAUGCGUAGAGAUCUGAAGGAAUACCGGUGGCGAAGGCGGCCCCCUGGACAGAUACUGACACUCAGAUGCGAAAGCGUGGGGAGCAAACAGGAUUAGAUACCCUGGUAGGAUAGAG
rnacentral:rRNA from 1 species